UUCCUGUGCUUUUAUACUGAAGGGGCAUUCAUCUCUCUUCCGGUUAAAGUCGAGGUAGCUGUCUUGGAUCUCCGGGACCACCAUUGGCUAACAUCUACAACGAGUUGGUCGUUUUUCGGGGGGGGGGAGGAUUUUUUUACUGGAUAAAGUUGUUCCACGUUGUUCGUUUUAAUGUUUAAACCAUUAAAACCCGUCCGGGUGAAGAAGCGCUCCCAACCCGUCGCGUGACCCUCCAGAUGAAGUUGUCAACGUGAUGAACAAAACCCGCUAACCCUCUCGAGCUCCGGCCGUUGGCCCGCUGGGUGAUGACGGACCUGCUGGCUGCGUGCGCAACUGACGUGCUCGUGAGCUUCGCGGAGUCUCUGCGCGUGUCCGCGGGGCUGCUGGCCGUGGCCGCGGGCUGCGGGGCGCUGUCGGGGGUCGCGGCCGCGGCGCUGCUCUACGUCUUCUGCCUGAAGCCGAUGCUGCUGACCAGACAGGGACACAACGCGAGGCGGCUGCUGGAACCGGACGCCGGCGAGCUGGACCGCGACCAAAGUGACCGCGUCAGCACCGGCAGGACGGAGGCGGCGGCGAGCGGCGGCGGCGGCGCACACGAUAAAGAGAAGAAGAAGCCGCCCGUCAGCAGUGAUGUGGCCGCUUUCGCCUCCAGAGCAAAGGUUGUUUACCCCAUCAACCAGAAGUACAGACCUCUCGCCGACGGAGCCUCCAACCCGUCGGUGCACGAGCACACCAAGCUGCCGGCGAUGCCCGACGACUCCUCCUCCUCCUCCUCGGACGGAGAGUCUCUGAGCCGCGAGCAGGACAACGACGACAGCAGCCAGUUCAUCUCCUCCUCGCUGUUCCCCAAGAGCCUGCAGAACCAGAGCUUCACCCGGGUCUCCCACUACCCCCUCACGCUCACACAGCCAGGGUUUGAAGGGCGGAUCGGCCUCUACUGCCGGGCCCUGCAGGACGUCCAGCAGCACUGCGCUCAGCUCCGGGAGGAGAAAUCACAGAUGUUUCUCCAAACGGUGAAAAUGAUAUUCAGUGGUCGUUUUCCAAAAGACAAAAAGUACGCUGACUUCUCCAAGAAUAUUCUUCAAAUGCAAGAAAAGGAGCUGGCCGAGCUGAACAGGCAGUGGCCGACCGGCCUCGGCGAGGAGGAGGACGGUGCUCCCUGCUCUCUGGAGGACAUGGAGAGAGCUCAGAAAGAUCUUCUGGAACGUGGCCUUCAAGUGUCCAGCUGCUUCAGCCGGCAGGUGGAGGACCUGUGCCAGCAGCUGCUGAAGAAGGCCGGCGUCUUCCCUCCAGAGGAGGCGCAGGACGCGGCCCUCUCCCUCGUCCAGACUCUCCUGUCAGCAGAAACCCACCUGAUGAACUCCCAGGAGGCCGAGCUGAAGGCCGUCCAGCAGAAGCUGCUGUGGUGGGAGGAGCUGACGGCGCUGCUGCGCUCGCAGCCCGCCCUGCUGAGCCGGGAGGCGUCUCUGAGGCUCGGCCUGGCGGCGGCGGCGCUGGAGCGGCUGACGAGCGACGGCCUCCUGACCUUCGGCCGCAUGGAGAAGAUCCUCUCGGAGGUCCGGGCCACGCUGAGCGAAGGCCUGCAGCAGUGCACCGAGGAGUGCGCGAGGAAGACGAAGGAGCUGCUGGAUGACAGGUGCAGCCGCAUGGAGUCCAAGAGGAAGAAGCUCCUGAGGAGCCAGACCAAGGAGAGGAGCUGCGCCCUGCAGCCCAAACCCACCCGCGACCCCUGUGACCCGGAGCGGCUCGCCGAGGUGUACCGGGAGCUGCUGACGAAGCACCGGCAGCAGCUGUGUGACCUGGAGCGGCAGCAGGACGGCCGGGUGGCCGACGCCCUCUGCGACCACUGGAAGGUGAGCGGCGGACCGGCGCCGUCGGGGUGUUUGUGUCUCUUACUUUUAUUGUGUGUGUGUGUGUGUGUGUGUGACCUGCAGAAGCUCCGCGCCUCCUGGUCCAAGAGGCUCGGCGACCGGGUCAAGGACGCGGUCCUCGGCUCGGUGCCGGCCCGGUCGGAGGUGUCGGCGCGGCGCUGCGAGGAGCUGUGGGCGGAGCUGGAGCUGCAGCUGGCUGCGCAGAUGCAGCGAGCGGAGGGCGCCACCAAGCUGCAGCUGGAGGACGCCGGGGCCCGGCUGGACCACGACGCUCAGGUGUGGGAUGAGGAGAUGUCUCUGGUGCAGGCCCGCCUCCAGCACCUGAGCGAGCAGCAGAGGACGGUCCUCCGGGCCGCGGUGGCCCGGCAGAGCUACGCCCUCAACAGCCGCGUGGCGAGGCUGAUAGAGAAGAAGCACGAGCACCUGUUGGGCGCGGUGCGGAGGCACUUUGUGGUCAGGCACUUCUGUCUGCACGCGCUGAAGGAGAUGAGGCUGUCCAAGCUGAAGGCGCAGACGGACUUCAGGGAGCUGCCGGCGGAGGAGGAGCCCGACUCUGCGCUCAAGAGCAGCAGUGCCAGCCUGGCACAGAGGCACCUGGGCCCGGAGAGCCAGCUGGUCGGCCACAGCUUCCAGCAGGAGUUCCUCUCUGAGCUGGACACGGGGGCGGAGCUCCUCCAGAGCCACGCGCAGCUGCUGGUCGGCAACGCGCUCAGCCACGCCGUCCAGCAGGCGAUGGAGGCCCCGCCCCCCGCGGCGUCCCCACCGCACGAGGCCGGGCUGAAGUCCCACCUGACCGAAGCCGCCUCGGAGAGCGUCUACGUGACCAAAGACUCUCUGGCGGCGCUGGUCCAGAGCUACUACUGCCACCUGGAGGACAUCGUGGGAACAGCGGCGCCGGAUCAGGUCCACGUGAGCCAGGAGUGGGAGGAGCUACAGGAGGGCCGCCGUCAGCUGAGCAGCGCCCUGCUGAGGGAGCUGGAGAACUGGGGCAAGAAACCCGCCUCGGCCGAGUUUCAGCAGAGGGUGGCGCUCCACAGGGGGCGGGCCCUGGAGCGCUGCGAUGGGGACCAGGAGGCGACCUACGAGCAGCUGAGGCAGAGGAAGGUCUCCCAGGACCGGAACGCGGAGCGGAGCGGCGCCCGGCUGCAGGAGGCAGAAGAAGGCUUCAUGGCGGAGCUGGCGGCUCUGGCCCGGGUGUCGCUCCACAGUCCAGAACCGGAACCCAGCGGGGAGGAGGACGCUGCGGUGGAAUCUCACGUGCAGAGCAAGAAGCACAGAGACUAGCGAAGGCCGCCAGCAGCCCGCGGGGCUAGCUGCUGCUCCGCCGCUAGCUGCUGCUCCGCCGCCAGCAACGACGUCAAGGCUACAACGCUGGAGGUCACCGGAGGAAAUCCAGCGCCGUGCAACAAAGAGCUCAUCACCGAAGACCAACAGGGCGGCGCGUUCUUCAUUCUGUUCCACGAGACUCUGGACCAGACCACCGCGAGCAGACAGCUGGACUUCAUGUGCGCUUUUGGUGAAAUGACCAGGUCCCGUCAGGAUCCUAUGGAGCACAGCUCAUGGGCCAUGACACCAGGACCUACUUCAGCACCUCAAAGAGAAUGGACCAAAUGUCAACUGGAAGUUUUUGUAUUCAUACAGUUUGAAAAGGAUUGUUUUCCUAGUAUAUUCACAAAAGCUCAGGAGGAGACGUAUGAACCUGUGACACAAACAUCCAUCACAUAGAGACAUGAGAACUCUCGCUCACUCACUCACUCACUCACACACACACACACACACAUACAUUCUAUUAUGUAAAUGAAUUUGCAUUUUAAAAGCAGCUGGAAAUGUUAUUUAUGUUAUUUUAUAGAUUUUUUUGUUCAAAAGGAACUAUGUUGCACGUAUUUUAAAAAUAUAUUUACUUGAUUUUAUUUGUUCAUGGGACCUAAAUGUUCUGAAAAUGUUGUAUUAAUAAAUAUAAUUUACAACAGCAA